rnacentral:lncRNA from 1 species
AACUAGUCCAACUAAAAUCAAAAAGGAAAAGAGCUCCCUUGCGAUCUUUCGGGCAGCGCCAGAAGCUUCCCCACGCGCGCGCCGGGGCCGAAUUAGGCGGACGGCGACGGCUGCGUGCAUAUUUCCCAUGUGACGCCGAUCGAGUUAAAAGCCAUCCAUCGACGCGAGACAGCGAGAGAUCGGCGCAAGUGGUGCGGUGGCGACGGGUGCGUGGCGAGUGGCGACUGGCGACGGUGGUGGGCGCGCGCCAUCCCUCCACUCACGCUCGCUCGCUCGCUCGCUCCCUGCUCACUCACUCAACCGGCCGGAGGUGACGUGCGACCUCGGCCGGCGCCCGGGCGAAAGGGCAAGGUGAACCAGCCACGAAGCCGCGGCGGCGGCCGCUGCACUCCCGCUUGUGCGCGCGCGGCGGACGUGCGUGAACCUCGCAUUCCGUGCCAACAUAAAAAUAUCGUACGUUCAUGAGGGGAGACGCGACUACUAUGUGCUGUUCGCUAAUCUGGCGUGCUCAUAGGUGGAAUGCUUCUGCGUGGUACUACUCAUCUUGUACACCUAAUAACCAGUUUUUUCCUCCAAAAUGAUAAUAAACAGGUUUUUAUACAUCGUAUUAAUACCUUUUUCUUCUUCUAGGAUUGUGUAUCG